rnacentral:rRNA from 1 species
CCCGCACAAGCGGCGGAGCAUGCGGAUUAAUUCGAUGCAACGCGAAGAACCUUACCAAGGCUUGACAUACACCGGUAACGCCCAGAGAUGGGUGCCCCUUUGUGGUCGGUGUACAGGUGGUGCAUGGUUGUCGUCAGCUCGUGUCGUGAGAUGUUGGGUUAAGUCCCGCAACGAGCGCAACCCUCGUCCUAUGUUGCCAGCGGGUCAUGCCGGGGACUCAUGGGAGACUGCCGGGGUCAACUCGGAGGAAGGUGGGGAUGACGUUAAAUCAUCAUGCCCCUUAUGUCUUGGGCUUCACGCAUGCUACAAUGGCCGGUACAAAGGGCUGCGAUACCGCGAGGUGGAGCGAAUCCCAGAAAGCCGGUCUCAGUUCGGAUUGGGGUCUGCAACUCGACCCCAUGAAGUCGGAGUCGCUAGUAAUCGCAGAUCAGCAACGCUGCGGUGAAUACGUUCCCGGGCCUU